rnacentral:rRNA from 1 species
AUUGAACGCUGGCGGCAGGCCUAACACAUGCAAGUCGAGCGGAGCGGCGGACGGGUGAGUAAUGCCGAGGAAUCUGCCUGGUAGUGGGGGAUAACGUCCGGACACGGGCGCUAAUACCACAUACUAUCAGAUGAGCCUAGGUCGUAUUAGCUAGUUGGUGGGGUAAAGGCCUACCAAGGCGACGAGCCGUAACUGGUCUGAGCUGAUGAUCAGUCACAAUGGAACGGAGACACGGUCCAGACGCCUACGUGAGGCAGCAGUGGGGAAUAUUGGACAAUGGGCGAAAGCCGUAUCCAGCCAUGCCGCGUGUGUGAUGAAGGUCGUCGGAUUGUAAAGCACUUUUAGUAGGGAGGCGUUACCAACAGAAUAAGCACCGGCUGACUUCGUGCCAGCAGCCGCGGUAAUAC